UCCGGUUGAUCCUGCCGGACCCGACUGCUAUCGGAUGGAGAUUAAGCCAUGCGAGUCGAACGUCUCUUGACUAUGUGAGAGGCGUGGCACACGGCUCAGUAACACGUUGCCAACCUACCCUGAAGAUGCAUAUAACCCCGGGAAACUGGGAUUAAUUUGCAAUAGAUCAUUUCUUUUGGAAUGAGUUAUGGUUCAAAGAAUUGAACGAGCAUGUUUAUUCAAUUGCUUUAGGAUGGGGCUGCGACCGAUCAGGUUGUUGGUGGGGUGAUGGCCCACCAAGCCUAUAACCGGUGCGGGCUUUGAGAGAAGGAGCCCGGAGAUGGACACUGAGACAAGGGUCCAGGCCCUACGGGGCGCAGCAGGCGCGAAAACUUCGCAAUGUGCGCAAGCACGACGAGGUUAUUCCGAGUGCCACCCGCUGAGGGUGGCUUUUCUUUGGCCUAAAUCGCCAUAGGAAUAAGGGGAGGGAAAGCCUGGUGUCAGCCGCCGCGGUAAUACCAGCUCCCCGAGUGGUCGGGACGUUUAUUGGGCCUAAAGCAUCCGUAGUCUGUCCUAUAGGUCCCAUGUUAAAUCCAAUUGCUUAACAGUUGGGCCGCAUGGGAUACCGUAGGACUAGGAGGCGGGAGAAGCGGACGGUACUCCAUGGGUAGUGGUAAAAUCCUCUGAUCCAUGGAAGACCACCAGUGGCGAAGGCGGUCCGCUAGAACGCGCUCGACGGUGAGGGAUGAAAGCGGGGGGAGCGAACCGGAUUAGAUACCCGGGUAGUUCCCGCUGUAAACUAUGCGAGCUAGGUGAUGGAAUGGCUAUUAGCUAUUCCAGUGCCGCAGGGAAGCCGUUAAGCUCGCCGCCUGGGGAGUACGGUCGCAAGGCUGAAACUUAAAGGAAUUGGCGGGGGAGCACCACAAGGGGUGAAGCCUGCGGUUCAAUUGGAUUCAACGCCGGG
rnacentral:rRNA from 1 species